CGUUAAUGUGGGAUCUCUCUUUAAUUUAUUAUCUUGCCUACAUAAAUGUUUAUAUUGCGUAUGCUUGCUAGGGGGACGUUGAUGAGGCGUGGCAAUUUUAUGAAAAACUGCACAACAGUCCAGUAAUAAACACCCGCUAGUUACUAGAUAGUGUUAAUUUAAUUGUAAUUAUAAUAUAAGGUACAAUGGUUCUUGUUUUAGGUUAAGCGAAGAGCAAUGAUAUAACAUAGUUUGUGUAAUAGUGAUAAGAGAUGAAAUUAAGAUGCAAACUAUUGGUUGUGAUUCAGACACAAUUUGUUAAGUUGUUCGUAGAUUUGUCGCAGAAUUGUGGAACCUUACUGACUUCAUGAUAGGAAUCUUUUUAUUUAAUUUUUGUUUUUUUAGAUAUUUUUACGUAUCAUUCUCGUUUGUACAUCGCUAACAAUAAUUGUACAGAGUACUUUUGGACUUAAUUUAAGGCAAUAAAUGUAUUUAUUUUAUAACUCAUGAUGUAAGAAUUUAUUCUUAAUUAUUAUAAAAAAAUAUAUGAUAUGCUUGUA